rnacentral:rRNA from 1 species
GAAGUUUAUUUACGGAGAGUUUGAUCCUGGCUCAGGAUGAACGCUGGCGGCGUGCUUAACACAUGCAAGUCGAACGUGAGAAUAGCAAUAUUUGAAAGUGGCAAACGGGUGAGUAACACGUGGGAACCUGCCUCGAAGUGGGGGAUAACGAUUGGAAACGGUCGCUAAUACCGCACGGUUCUGCUCUGAUGGGAAUGGAGCAGAUAAAGAUUUAUCGCGUUUGAGAGGGGCCCGCGGCCGAUUAGCUAGUUGGUAAGGUAAAGGCCUACCAAGCCUGCGAUCGGUAACUGGUCUGAGAGGACGACCAGUCACACUGGGACUGAGACACGGCCCAGACUCCUACGGGAGGCAGCAGUGGGGAAUUUUGGACAAUGGGCGCAAGCCUGAUCCAGCAAUGCCGCGUGUGUGAAGAAGGCC